AUUGAACGCUGGCGGCAUGCCUUACACAUGCAAGUCGAACGGCAGCACGGGGGCAACCCUGGUGGCGAGUGGCGAACGGGUGAGUAAAGCAUCGGAACGUACCCGGAAGUGGGGGAUAACGUAGCGAAAGUUACGCUAAUACCGCAUAUUCUGUGAGCAGGAAAGAGGGGGAUCGCAAGACCUCUCGCUUUCGGAGCGGCCGAUGUCGGAUUAGCUAGUUGGUGGGGUAAAGGCCUACCAAGGCGACGAUCCGUAGCUGGUCUUAGAGGAUGAUCAGCCACACUGGGACUGAGACACGGCCCAGACUCCUACGGGAGGCAGCAGUGGGGAAUUUUUGGGACAAUGGGGGCAACCCUGAUCCAGCCAUGCCGCGUGAGUGAUGAAGGCCUUAGGGUUGUAAAGCUCUUUUACCCGGGAUGAUAAUGACAGUACCGGGAGAAUAAGCUCCGGCUAACUCCGUGCCAGCAGCCGCGGUAAU
rnacentral:rRNA from 1 species